GCAAACUUGGUCAUUUAGAGGAAGUAAAAGUCGUAACAAGGUCUCCGUUGGUGAACCAGCGGAGGGAUCAUUACCGAGUUAUAUAAACUCCCAACCCUUUGUGAACCUACCAUCAUUUCCUCGGCGUGUGCUGCGGCUACCCUGUAGUUGCCUACCCGGUAGCUACCCUGUAGCCGGCCCACGGCCCGCCGCGGGACCGCUAGACUCUUGUUUUUACCACUGUAUCUCUGAACUUUUGACCAAAAUGAGUUAAAACUUUCAACAACGGAUCUCUUGGUUCUGGCAUCGAUGAAGAACGCAGC
rnacentral:misc_RNA from 1 species